CUCAACUGAUCCUCUGUAAAAUGAUCACUGCCUUAUACAGUUGUUGGGAGAAUAAAAUGAGAUGGUUCUAUAGUGUUUGGCACCUACCAAUGCUCAUUGAUAGGUCUCUGGAGCCUGUGACUGUCAGUUUCCCCUCCUCUCAUGGAUUCUUCAGCAUCCCACUGGGCCUCUUAGAAUCAGCUCUGACCACAGGUGCAACCAUGGACGCCCAGUGAAGGUCUCUGAGGUCUAGGUGCAAGUGGAGAGUCUGGGGAGGUGGGCUCAGUACAGAGAAGAUAACCAAGCCAGGGACCCCAAAGGCAGGCUGCUGCUUAGGGGGGCCCACGUGAGAAAUCAGUGACUGAGGCACAGAGGAGCCUCUUUCUCUCUCUCCAGGAGAUCAGUCACCAUCAG
rnacentral:lncRNA from 1 species